rnacentral:rRNA from 1 species
AUACACAGCCAUAUCACCCUGCAGCCCAAGAUUACUCACUGAAGCUAAGCAGGGCUGAGCCUGGUCAGUAUCUGGAUGGGAGACCACAUGGGAAAACUAGGAAGCUGUUGGAU